AUUGAACGCUGGCGGCAGGCCUAACACAUGCAAGUCGAGCGGUAGCACAGAGAGCUUGCUCUCGGGUGACGAGCGGCGGACGGGUGAGUAAUGUCUGGGAAACUGCCUGAUGGAGGGGGAUAACUACUGGAAACGGUAGCUAAUACCGCAUAACGUCGCAAGACCAAAGUGGGGGACCUUCGGGCCUCAUGCCAUCAGAUGUGCCCAGAUGGGAUUAGCUAGUAGGUGGGGUAACGGCUCACCUAGGCGACGAUCCCUAGCUGGUCUGAGAGGAUGACCAGCCACACUGGAACUGAGACACGGUCCAGACUCCUACGGGAGGCAGCAGUGGGGAAUAUUGCACAAUGGGCGCAAGCCUGAUGCAGCCAUGCCGCGUGUGUGAAGAAGGCCUUCGGGUUGUAAAGCACUUUCAGCGGGGAGGAAGGCGGUGAGGUUAAUAACCUCAUCGAUUGACGUUACCCGCAGAAGAAGCACCGGCUAACUCCGUGCCAGCAGCCGCGGUAAUACGGAGGGUGCAAGCGUUAAUCGGAAUUACUGGGCGUAAAGCGCACGCAGGCGGUCUGUCAAGUCGGAUGUGAAAUCCCCGGGCUCAACCUGGGAACUGCAUUCGAAACUGGCAGGCUAGAGUUCUGUAGAAGGGGGUAGAAUUCCAGGUGUAGCGGUGAAAUGCGUAGAGAUCUGGAGGAAUACCGGUGGCGAAGGCGGCCCCCUGGACAAAGACUGACGCUCAGGUGCGAAAGCGUGGGGAGCAAACAGGAUUAGAUACCCUGGUAGUCCACGCCGUAAACGAUGUCGAUUUGGAGGUUGUGCCCUUGAGGCGUGGCUUCCGGAGCUAACGCGUUAAAUCGACCGCCUGGGGAGUACGGCCGCAAGGUUAAAACUCAAAUGAAUUGACGGGGGCCCGCACAAGCGGUGGAGCAUGUGGUUUAAUUCGAUGCAACGCGAAGAACCUUACCUGGUCUUGACAUCCACAGAACUUUCCAGAGAUGGAUUGGUGCCUUCGGGAACUGUGAGACAGGUGCUGCAUGGCUGUCGUCAGCUCGUGUUGUGAAAUGUUGGGUUAAGUCCCGCAACGAGCGCAACCCUUAUCCUUUGUUGCCAGCGGUCCGGCCGGGAACUCAAAGGAGACUGCCAGUGAUAAACUGGAGGAAGGUGGGGAUGACGUCAAGUCAUCAUGGCCCUUACGACCAGGGCUACACACGUGCUACAAUGGCAUAUACAAAGAGAAGCGACCUCGCGAGAGCAAGCGGACCUCAUAAAGUAUGUCGUAGUCCGGAUUGGAGUCUGCAACUCGACUCCAUGAAGUCGGAAUCGCUAGUAAUCGUAGAUCAGAAUGCUACGGUGAAUACGUUCCCGGGCCU
rnacentral:rRNA from 1 species